ACACGUUCCGUGAUAUGGUGCGGUGUGCGGACUGCGGAUAUGGCGCCAGCGCAGAGAAAUAACCAACAAUCUUGGUUGUAUAAGCAUUUCAGUAAAUUAGACCGUUUUUCCAUGAAGUGCAAUACUUGUGAUACUAAUAUCGGUACACACGAUUUAAACUAUUUGAAAGCACAUUUGUACCGUAAUCAUAAAAUCUUUAGAGAAGAGGAUUUGUCAAGAUGGAAUAACGACAACAAUGUGUUAUGGCAAUAUUUCUUAAAAGUAGACUUAUAUACUGCAAAAUGCAAAACUUGUGACCGUUUAUUUUUUAGUGCAUAUAACAAAUAUGGGUUAGUAAGCCAUCUGAAAAGAUAUCAUUCACAAGUAUUACUUGCGAUACAAGAAAAAAUUACAAGUACUUGGCUGUCGCCACAUUUCACAUUCGACAUGAUAAAGUAUCGUGCAAAUUGCGUACAUUGCACUUAUUCUAAAAUAUAUUCCGAAAUAGACGCCUUAGAAGAACAUUUAAGCACUUCACAUAAUAUAAACAGAUGUUCAGGACAUGCAAUAAUACUUGGAUUUUACAUAAAUGUAAACGACAUAUAUAGCUAUAUAGCUACAUAGCUAAGGAAAAUUAUAUAUGUUUUCAUCGUGAUAAUAUAUUGAAGAAGGUUCCAAUUACAGAAGCCAACAAAGGAUUUAUGCAUGUCGUGACAGAAUCUGGAGACCAUAUUGGAUGUAAUAUUAAUAAUAACAAAAACUUGAUUUGAAUACUGGAAUGUAUAAAUAGAACUAACACGCGCACUUGAUGAGUAUAAAUUACUCGCUUUGAGUUACAUAAUGUAAAGUAAUUUUAUUACUGAAGCAUUAACUUUGUGCCAAAUAUAUAAUAUACUAAUUGAAUUAUUAAAUUCAAAUUAUUAACUAAUCGAAUAGUCAUGAUGUAUUUGAAUUUUCUUUAUCAUUCAUUAUAUUCUUUAUCACCUUAUAAAGACGUCUUUUAUAACUUAUACAAACGUAUUACAUUUAUAAUCUAAAUGUAUACGUUAAAGUUGUAAAUUAAACUUAUCCGAACACUAAAA